UCUUAUCGACGUGAGAUUCAUUCUAAACAAAGUUAAAUAAAAAUUAUUGUGUUUUUUGUCUAGAUCAAGUCAAGCUCAACCAGUCACCUAAUAGCAAGGCAUGUGGCGCAUGAUUUGCCUCCUCAGUCUGAAACCAAAAGAAAACAGCAUAUCUUUCACAUCCUCCUCGAUAUCAAUAUUCUUCAACCGUUCAUGAAGCCGGGUGCAUACGCCAUUUUUUUCUAGUCUUUAUUCUCAUGUGAGUUGGGGUGGCGGGAGUGCCUUGCAAGUGGCGAGGGGAGCCCCUAGAAUUUUCGACAAGAACAUUUUCUGAUUUGCGGUGGGCUAGAGCACACCCGAGUCCCCACCCCAGCCUGUCAUGACAUGCCCCCAAAAACUUCACCCUUGUCAUUCUGACAAGGCCUAGGGCUUGAAAGAUGACCUUCAACCUGAAAAACCACCUCCUGCGGGCCAAAUCGAAGAGAUCAAGUGGUGGGUCAUGCGAAGCCUAUCCAAAAGCUCGAGCAAGUUAAGCCUGGCCUUGUCCAGCAAACAAGGUUGAUGUCAUGCCAAGCAAAUUAAGCCUGGCUUUGCUCCAUCGAACAAGAUUAACGUCAACCACGUUUUGUAAUUUACAUGCAACAAGGUAACCCAAAAAAAAAAAAAAAAAUAUUUAUGAAUAGUAAUCACCUUUACCCAACAAGUGGAGUUGCACAAAUAUAAAUACUAUUGAGAGUGAAUAAUACGAGCAAUUUACAUGUCUCUUGCCCUUUAAAACGGGUGAAACUAAUGGACCCAAGCAGGCCUUUUUGAGUACUUAAAUGAGAGAGUCAUCACAGCCAUACCCCAUGACAAUUGAGUUUUAAAAGUCCAUCACCAUAGGCUUAUCAACAUUAAUUAAUCAAAUUAAUGGAGCAUAAAUUUGAAAAAGAAGAAAUCACAUCCUUCUUUUUGUUACUCUAUUUAUUAAAAUUCCUUUCAUUUUUAAUUUUUGAUCAAGGUUCUUGGUAUUAAUAACAUCAUGAAUUAUUUGAAUAAUAAAAUAUUUUUAUUUUUAAAUAUAUUCCUUUAGUGUUAAAAAUGUAUAUUUAUAUUUAUGACUAAAUUUUUAUCAUAUAUUUUUAUUUUUAGUUCGUACCUAUUUUUAAUUUGUACCCAUAUAUUAGUUUCUUUUUGUACCCAUAUUUUUUUUAAAGUUUUAUUUGUGUUUGUACCAUGUAUACCGUCACAUGACAUUGUAUAUUUAAUCAAUGAUAGAAAAAUUACAUAUGGUAUAUUUAUGUUUUAUGCCUAAAUUUUGUAUCAUAUAUUUAUAUUUUUAGUUUGUACCCACUUUUUGACACACCCCGACCAUAAAAUCAGGGCGUGUUGGCCGUCAUGUGGGCAUGACGUAACCAAAAGUGCGACGCAGAAGCAAAAAGGUAAAAGAAAUAUGAAGGGGUAAAAACCAACUACUAGCAAUAAUAUCCGAACUAACAUGCUAGAGUGAGUUUAAGUGUGAAACACACAUAAUCAGAGCAUAAGUACUCGGUGCAGUCAAGUAGGACCAUUACUAAAUUACAACACCUGAGGGUGAGUCAUACAUUUAGGUAGUCUGUCAGAACGCCGUGGAAAUCCUCAUGAGCCAACAACACUGCUAACUAGAACCUGGAGGGGCGCAAAAAUAAGAUUGAGUGGGUCAGUAAAACAAAGCUUUUCGAAAAUAUUUCAUUUAAUAACACUUUUAACCCCUCAGAGCAACUCCAGCGGAUGCUGGUUGCUCGGGCGACAGGGGAGGAGAAAGGGCCUGAGGGCCGGUGGGAGCAGCUCCAGCGGGGAAGGGCCCGAGUGAGGGUGGGAGCCCGAGCGAAGGGGGGGGUAGGGAGUCGACGGGCCUAUGGCCGGAGUGCUUUGUAUUUUUUAUUUUUUUUUGUGUCAGAGAGAGAGAGAGAGAGAGAGGGGAUUUUUUAUUAUUUAAACAACAAAAAAAAAACUAUUAUUUUGAUUGCUUAUUGACAGGGGGAGGGUUCUAAGGGUGGAGAUGUAAAUGGCAAUUACUGUUCAUUAAUGGUAGUUACUAUUCAUUUAAGGCAGUUACUGUUUAAUAGGGUGGAUUGAAUAGUGGAUUGCCAGGGGGAAGGGCUCCAUGAGUGGAAUUGCUCUCAUUGUAAAACCUGUAUGCUUUCCCAGAAAAUAAUAUAUAUAUAAAACCAUAUAUAACAGCAAAUAACUCAAAUCACAAGUCUUUAACACUUUUCAGGAAAAUAUGUCAUGCUAUGCUUCAAAAACAUAAUAAGGAUGCAUCAAUAUAACAAGUGAAAUAAGGAAUCAACCCGAGACCCUGCAGCUGUCCUGUACGGCUAAUUCUAUGGCUCAAUACCCAAUCCAGCCGGAGUCACCAACUGUGACCUGUACGGCACUACUCUGCACACAAGUCGGAACUAUCUGAAGUAGUUUGUACGACAAGAAUGGUGUAAGAAUAUGCUCUAGUGCUUCUCUCAUCAACAGCUGUAUAAUAAUCUAAAGUUACCUACAAGUCGGAACCAUCUCUAAUGGUCUAUACGACAUGUUGGAACCAUCUCUAAUGGUCUGUACAACAUGCACCUACUUGGAUCCAAGAUGAACGUGUGGUGCGGGUGAAUAAUAUAAGCACUAACACCAGGGGUGCAGGUUAUGAGCUCUCAACAUAAAUCACAUCAAACAAUAAAUCACAUGAACAACAUAAAACUCACCUGAUACUCACAUGUGCGUCCACAGCACCAUUUAACAUAUAUGCAUCAAAUACUAGUUCAUAUAUUUCAUAUAAUAUGCAUGCAUGGCAUUUUAAAGCAUACUAUUAUUUAAAUUCAAUUUCUGGGAAAAGUCAGUAGUAAAUAGGUAUAUACAGAAAAUAACUGCCCACUCACUGGUAAAUCGAAGGGUUGUAACCCCCGUGACGCCCUUGAACGCGCUCGUCCUCGGGAUAGGUCUCACCUAUAUGCGAAAUAACUAUAAAAACGUUAUUUUAAAGCACAUAACCAACAAUACGUAAUAAUUCUCAUACGAUGCUCAAUUUGGGUAUAUGAAUAUACCACAGUGACCUACUCGACUUCACGAACGUUGAGAUAUUUUUAGAAUAAUUUUUCAACGCCGCAUGCGCCCCCACGCACGUCAUCCCUUACCUCUAGACGCCGGAAAAUCUCGUCGGCGCCGAAAAACUGGGAAAAUUUCUAACUAAGGUUUCUCCCUCGAUUCUUCACCAUUUCUCACGCAAUUUAUACCAAAAUGAAGCCCUAAGCAUGUAGAAUCACGUCAAACAAGUUUCAAGAUCUAAAAUCUACUAGAUCUUACUUGAGGAAGCUCGAUAAUCCGGCCAAAUUUGAAAAGCUUCGUUCUCAGUCCUCCGACGUCUAAAUUCUACCAACGAAGUACCCCGAAGCUCGUGAGAACCUCCUUAAGCUCACUGUGAGCUUGAAAUUCCCUGAAACACAAUGUUUUAUGUGUGCAUGAACAGUGCACAUUUUCGGGGUUAGGGUUUCACGAUAAUUUCGAAGGUCUUAAGUUCCAAAAUUAGUAUGUUUGAACUCAGAGACUCAAGAUGAGUUCGAUUCUUACCUUAGAACCUUCGAUCUGUGAAGAAAUGGCGUAGAAUAAGCUUGUCCGUACGUGCACAGUGACAAAGGUGCAGAAAAACCGAGAGAGAGAAGGGAGAGAAAGUCCACGGGAGUGAGAGAGAAAAGGCAGGUUUGUGUGUGUGUGGUCCACAUUAAUCCCUAACCACACAAUUGAAAACAUAACCUAAGUUCCAAAUUAAAUUUCCACAAACUUAGGAAGGACAAUAUUAAUCAAAUGUAUAAGUCACACACACACCUUAGAAAUCUUUAGGGACAAUUCCAUCUUUUCAUACUUCGGUAAAAGAUCUCGGGACGGGCUGUGACACUUUUAAUUUGCAACAUUUAAAAAAAAAAUUGUAGUAUUUUCUUUUUAGUUUUAUUUUGUACUCAUGUAUUAAUUUCUUUUAGCACCUAUAUUUUUUUUAAAUUCAUUUGUACUCAUAAUUUUUUAAUCUUUUAUCUGUACCCUAAUUUAUUUAUAAUGUACCCAUUCUUCUUUGUUAAUGUACCACUUUGUUAUAUGUGAAAUGUACCAAUUUUUUUGUAAAAUGUACCAAUUUUUCUAACACAAUACAUUCUUUUGCCAUUUAUUAUUUCUUAUUUUUACAUAGUUUUUAUCCAUUUAUUCAAUCAAAAUGUUUGAAUUUUGUUAUUGUAACCGUUUCUAAUAGUAUUAUAAUGAGGGAUUUUAAAUUUAUAGGAUUAUAAAUCACAUAAAAUAUCAAACAAUUAAUGUCAAAACUAUAAAAAUAAAAAUAUUAAUUGUAAUAUAAUGAGGUGUUCAAAGUCAAUGAACUUUGAUCAAACUUUGAAUAUCAUUAAAGUUUAGUAAAAGAAUGUUAAGGAUUAGAGACUGCAUCCAAAAUAUAUUGGUAUUAAUUCAGUAUACUAAUGGACCCAAGCAGGCCAUUUUGAGUACUUAAAAAGUCCAUUGUGAUGUUAUGCUUCAAUACUUUUCGCAAAUUUUCUUGUGCGGACUAUAUUUGCAGACCAUCUACACGGACCAACUUAAACCAUUGGAUUUCAUCGGGACGUCUCACAAUAAAAUUGAACUCAUUGGUGGAACCAGAUCAUAAAUGACUCGUUAAUGGGAAAAUUUUGAAUAAAAUGUAAUAUAAGUUGAAUAAUUUAUAUAAAAUAGGAGAAAAAUCAUAAAACUAUUUCGGAAGUUGCUACUGACUCGUUGCAGGGUGCUCGCCAUUUUGAAGAAAACAGGGAAAAACUAUAUCAAACGAAUCACAAGGUGCAUGUGGUACAUAAUGAUUAAAAUAUUAUAUAAAGUGUUUGUGUAAAAUCAAGAAAAAUUGAAAAAAUAAUUUGAAUGUUCACAUGAACUUCUUGAACCGACUUAUUGAGAAAUGAGCAUAAAACCUCUAUUAUGAGUUGAAAUCAAGGUUCUAAAAGACAUUAAGCGUUAGUCAGGCGGUAGUUGGUGCCUAGCGCUAGUCGGGCAGUAGCUGGUGCCUAGCACCUAGGCUAUUAGGCGGAGCCUAGGCGAACUAGGCGAAUUUAAAUAAAUUUAUGAUCCAUAUGAUAAAUAAGGGUCUGCUUAUAUUUAAAAAAUACAUAAUUGCUUUGGAAUAUUGUCACAUCCCGGCCCGGGGCGGACCACUUCUUGGGCGCGCUCCACCACCAUAGCACGAUAUUGUCCGCUUUGGGCCCCGACUACGCCCUCACGGUUUUAUUUCUGGGAACUCACGAACAACUUCCCAGUGGGUCACCCAUCUUGGGAGUGCUCUGGCCUCCUUCUCGCUUAACUUCGGAGUUCCUACGGAACCCGAAGCUAGUGAGCUCCCAAAAGGCCUCAUGCUAGGUAGGGAUGGGAAUAUACAUUUAAGGAUCACUCCCCUGGGCGAUGUGAGAUGUUACAAUACCAGCACACCUUGAUUCUAGGAUCGGGGUGUGUCAAAUAUAUAAAUUGAAAAAUAAAAUGACAAAUAGAUUAUAAAGUAUUAGAACAUAAUGCAAAAUGAAAAAUAUCUAUUUUCUGUUUAAGUGAGAAGUGCGACCUACACAGGCUAGGCGAGUGCCUAAGUAGGUAUAGGAGCCAUUUCUUAAUUUUCAAACUGACACACCCCGACCCGGAAUGUCCACUAGGACUUCGAAUCAAGCUGUGCUGGCCAACACUUGGAAGGUGACGAAGCCAUAAAGUGUGAUAAUGUGGAAAAUUAUGAAUAAAUUUAAACCAAAGAGUGCCUUAAUACCAGAGUGCACUGGUGAGCGGGAAUGAACCCACUUCACACACAUGACGUUAGAGCAUAAGCAAGUACAGAAAAGUGAAUUAAGAAUCAUACCCUUGAAAUAGUCUCCGAUACUAAGAGUCGCCACGAGUCUUUGGUGAUAAGAAAACUCAGCUAAUAAAACCUAGAGGGUGAAGACAAGACAAAGAUGAGUAGCCUUGUAAGUAAAAUACUAAUAGAAAACAAAUAAAACAUUAUAAUCCCUCACUA
rnacentral:lncRNA from 1 species